rnacentral:lncRNA from 1 species
AUUAGGUGGUUAGUUUAGGGAAUUUAGUUUAGGAAAUUAGUUUAGAAAAUUUAGGUUUCGUAAUUUUAUUAAUUACGUAGUUAAUACUGUUCAUAAUUUUUUUUUUACUCUUGAUUUUAAUUUAGAAAUUUAAAUUUUGCAGACUAUUCGCAAGCACCAGCGUACUGCUCACUACUCGCAGAUGUUCGGUCAACCGGGUAGUCGGUUUGACCCGCCUUCACUUCCCGGUUCUUCUUCAGCUCCUGGUUCU